UACCAGCUCUCCGAGUUGGGGGGAUGAUUAUUGGGCUUAAAGCGUCCGUAGCUGGCUUAGCAAGUCUCCUGUUAAAUUCAGCGACCUAAUCGUUGAGCCGCGGGAGAUACUACUAGGCUAGGAGGCGGGAGAGGUCGACGGUACUUUCGGGGUAGGGGUGAAAUCCUAUAAUCCCGGGAGGACCACCAGUGGCGAAGGCUGUCGACUAGAACGCGCUCGACGGUGAGGGACGAAAGCUGGGGGAGCGAACCGGAUUAGAUACCCGGGUAGUCCCAGCUGUAAACUAUGCGGGCUAGGUGUUGGGGUGGCUACGGGCCACUUCAGUGCCGCAGGAAAGCCAUUAAGCCCGCCGCCUGGGGAGUACGGCCGCAAGGCUGAAACUUAAGGAAUUGGCGGGGAGCACCACAAGGCGUGAAGCUUGCGGUUC
rnacentral:rRNA from 1 species